UACGGGGGGGCAAGCGUUGUUCGGAAUUACUGGGCGUAAAGGGCUUGUAGGUGGCCAACUAAGUCAGACGUGAAAUCCCUCGGCUUAACCGGGGAACUGCGUCUGAUACUGGAUGGCUCGAGUUUGGGAGAGGGAUGCGGAAUUCCAGGUGUAGCGGUGAAAUGCGUAGAUAUCUGGAGGAACACCGGUGGCGAAGGCGGCAUCCUGGACCAAACUGACGCUGAAUAGCGAAGCCAGGGAGCAA
rnacentral:rRNA from 1 species